UGUAGCGGUGACAUGCGUAGAUAUCAGAAGGAACACCAAAUGCGAAGGCAACUUUCUAGACUAAGACUGACACUGAGGCACGAAAGCGUGGGUAGCAAACAGGAUUAGAUACCCUGGUAGUCCACGCUGUAAACGAUGAGUACUAGGUGUUGGGGGAAUCGACCCCUUUGGUACCGUAGCUAACGCGAUAAGUACUCCGCCUGGGGACUACGACCGCAAGGUUGAAACUCAAAGGAAUUGACGGGGACCCGCACAAGCGGUGGAACAUGUGGUUUAAUUCGAUGCAACGCGAAGAACCUUAGCUGGGCUUGACAUCACCGAAAUCACCUUUAUACGGUGAGUGCCUCGAUUUAUCGAGGAAUCGUGUGACAGGUGCUGCAUGGCUGUCGUCAGUUCGUGUCGUGAGAUGUUGGGUUAAGUCCCGCAACGAACGCAACCCCUGUCUUUAGUUACCAGCAUUAAGUUGGGGACUCUAGAGAGACUGCCAAGGUGACAACUUGGAGGAAGGCGGGGACGACGUCAAGUCAUCAUGGUCCUUACGUCCAGGGCUAGAAACGUACUACAAUGGUUGGCACAGAGGGCAGCAACACAGCGAUGUGAAGCAAAUCCUUAAAACCAACCUCAGUUCGGAUUGGAGUCUGCAACUCGACUUCAUGAAGUUGGAAUCGCGUAGUAAUCGCGGAUCAGCAAUGCCGCGGUG
rnacentral:rRNA from 1 species